GCCUGGGUGGCUCAGUCGGUUGAGCGGCUGACUUCAGCUCAGGUCAUGAUCUCACAGUUCAUGGGUUCGAGCCCCACAUCAGGCU
rnacentral:tRNA from 1 species